AGAGAGGUGGCCGAGUGGUCGAAGGCGCGCGCUUGGAAAGCGNGUAUACGNANNAAUCUUCGUAUCGAGGGUUCGAAUCCCUUCCUCUCUG
rnacentral:tRNA from 1 species